AUAAAGGAAAACUAGCAGCUUUAAGCUUCAACUGACACUUAAGCCUAACUAAAAAAAUAGAUCCGUAUAAUAGUGGAAUGAUGCUCAGAUAUGGGAACUUGUGAGGUUCUUUUCUUUCUAGCAUUUUUCUUACCACAAUAGUGAUAACUCUCUUUACAAGCCUUCUCCAUAUAUUUGUGGAGCUACUUGCUUUUCACAUACCCAUUUUAAUAGCUUUAGUUAUUCCUUUGGGUAAUUUGUAGACAAAUUAACUGUGCCUAGCCCUAGCCUGAACUUACCUAUUCAUUAUAUAUAUGUUUAUUUAUGUAUUACUGUUCUUCUAUUGUUGUGCUGUUUUGUAGAGGUUGGAGUUGUUGCUACUGUAUGUGCAUCUACAGCACUGCAAGUUUAAGUUUGUCAUCCCUAUUGACAACUGAACCUGCACUUUCCUAAAAUUUCAUAGAAUUUCUGCUGGCCCUUAGGUCGCUGCAAGGUUGAUAGCAGAAGAUCAUUAUCAAGGUCUCUCCAUUAAUGACUUUGAUGUUCUAUCAGAUUUUAACCUCAGAUAUUCUGAUAAAGCAUAUAGGUUGUGGAGAUGAUGAAUUCUUGCAUGGCUCAAAGGACAAAGAUGAAAAGUGAAGAAGAAAAUAAUAAGAUUCUGCUGAAUGAGACUUGAGAGAGAAGAUUGCAAAAUUGCACGUGUUUAUUCAACAAUCCUUAUGUAUUGUCCACUUGUUGUUUAUAUGGUUACAACUUAGUUGGCUGUAAUUAUGAAGUAUGUAUGGACAUAUAGUACAACUAUUGGUUAGUGUUCAUAUUGCCAUUUGUUAUUGUAUUGCUUAUACAUGAUUAUUAAAGUUACUUUGUUCUUGAAA